rnacentral:rRNA from 1 species
UACGUAGGGGGCGAGCGUUGUCCGGAAUCAUUGGGCGUAAAGCGCGUGUAGGCGGCCCGGUAAGUCCGCUGUGAAAGUCCAGGGCUCAACCCUGGGAUGCCGGUGGAUACUGUCGGGCUCGAGUCCGGAAGAGGCGAGUGGAAUUCCUGGUGUAGCGGUGAAAUGCGCAGAUAUCGGGAAGAACACCCGUGGCGAAGGCGGCUCUCUGGGACGGUACUGACGCUGAGACGCGAAAGCGUGGGGAGCGAACAGG